rnacentral:rRNA from 1 species
UACAGAGGUGGCAAGCGUUGUUCGGAAUUACUGGGCGUAAAGGGCGAGUAGGUGGCCAUCUAAGUCAGACGUGAAAUCCCUCGGCUUAACCGGGGAACUGCGUCUGAUACUGGAUGGCUGGAGUUUGGGAGAGGGAUGCGGAAUUCCAGGUGUAGCGGUGAAAUGCGUAGAUAUCUGGAGGAACACCGGUGGCGAAGGCGGCAUCCUGGACCAACACUGACGCUGAGGAGCGAAAGCCAGGGGAGCAAACGGG